AAAUAGUGGUAUUCCAGGGUG
rnacentral:misc_RNA from 1 species